GACAGGCACACAGACAAGCACACAGACAGUCACACAGACAGGCACACAGACAGGUACACUGACAAGUACACAGACAGAUACACAGACAGGCACACAGACAGGCACACAGACAGACACAGGGACAGGUACACAGACAGGUACACAUACAGGUACAAGGACAGGCACACAGACAAGCACACAGACAGGUACACAGACAGGUACACAGACAAGUCCACAGACAGGUACAGGGACAGGUACAGGGACAGGCACACAGACAGGCACACAGACAUGCACACAGACAGGUACAAGGACAGGUACACAGACAGGCACACAGACAGGUACAAGGACAGGUACACAGACAGGCACACAGACAGGUACAAGGACAGGCACACAGCCAGGUACACAGACAGGCACACAGACAGGCACACAGACAGGUACACAGACAGGCACACAGACAUGCACACAGACAGGCACACAGACAAGCACACAGACAGGUACACAGACGGGCACACAGACAGGUACACAGACAGGCACACAGACAGGCACACAGACAGGCACACAGACAGGUACACAGACAGGCACACAGACAAGCACACAGACAGGUACACAGACAGGCACACAGACAGGUACACAGACAGGCACACAGACAGGCACAC
ensembl:lncRNA